rnacentral:misc_RNA from 1 species
UUUAAGUAGAGUUAGGGAGAUUCUUCAGAAUUGUGAUGGUAAUGAUGCAAAGGUUUUGUUGGCAAUUCAGAAUCAAGAAGGAGAAACUCCCCUCUAUGCAGCAGCUGAGCAUGGGCAUGCGAUGGUAGCUGCAGAGAUGCUGGGAUACAUGGACCUGGAGACUGCAUCUGUUGCAGCUAGGAAUGGAUUUGAUCCAUUCCACAUUGCAGCAAAGCAGGGUCAUCUGGAGGUGUUGAAGGAGCUUUUGCAUGGAUUCCCCAACUUGGUCAUGACCACAGACUUAUCCUGUACAACCGCCUUACACACAGCUGCCACUCAAGGUUACGUUGAUGUGGUCAAUCUUCUUCUGGAAACAGAUUCAAAUCUAGUUAAAAUUGCUCGGAAUAAUGGUAAAACUGCCCUUCAUUCAGCUGCAAGGAUGGGGCACCUUGAAGUUGUGAGAUCCUUAUUAGGCAAGGAUCCAAGCACUGGCCUUAGAACUGAUAAAAAAGGACAAACUGCACUGCACAUGGCUGUGAAAGGGCAAAAUGAGGAAAUUGUGCUGGAAUUGUUAAAACCUGACCCCUCUGUUAUGAGUUUGGAAGAUAAUAAAGGGAACACAGCAUUGCAUAUUGCAACAAAGAAGGGCCGUACACAGAAUGUACGUUGCUUGUUAUCAGUUGAGGGUAUCACUGUCAAUGCAACUAACAAGGCUGGAGAGACCCC